GUGCUCACUUCAGCAGCACAUAUACUAAAAUUGGAAAGAUACAGAGAAGAUUAACAGGAUUCCUGCACAAGUAUGACAUACAAAUUCAUGAAACAUUCCAUAUUAAA